rnacentral:siRNA from 1 species
GGGUCUUGGUGGCUUUGAUA